CCUUGUACACACCGCCCGUCACACCACGAAAGUCGGCAACACCCGAAGUCAGUGGCCCAACCCGCAAGGGAGGGAGCUGCCGAAGGUGGGGUUGGUGAUUGGGGUG
rnacentral:rRNA from 1 species